GUGCCAGCAGCCGCGGUAAUACGGGGGGGGCGAGCGUUGUCCGGAAUCAUUGGGCGUAAAGGGCGCGUAGGUGGCCCGGUCAGUUCGUGGUGAAAGCGCGGGGCUCAACUCCGCGUCGGCCAUGAAUGCUGCUGGGCUUGAGCACUGUAGAGGCAGGCGGAAUUCCGGGUGUAGCGGUGAAAUGCGCAGAGAUCGGGAGGAACACCCGUAGCGAAGGCGGCACUCUGGGCCGGUACUGACGCUGAGGAGCGAAAGCGUGGGGAGCAAACAGGAUUAGAUACCCCGGUAGUCC
rnacentral:rRNA from 1 species